CCUACGGGAGGCAGCAGUAGGGAAUAUUGCUCAAUGGGGGAAACCCUGAAGCAGCAACGCCGCGUGGAGGAUGAAGGUUUUCGGUUUGUAAACUCCUUUCGGUAGAGAAGAUAAUGACGGUAUCUAACGAAUAAGCCCCGGCUAACUCCGUGCCAGCAGCCGCGGUAAUACGGAGGGUGCAAGCGUUACCCGGAAUCACUGGGCGUAAAGAGCGCGUAGGCGGGAUAGCAAGUCAGAUGUGAAAGCCUAUGGCUUAACCAUAGAACUGCAUUUGAAACUGUUAGUCUGGAGUAUGGGAGAGGUAGGUGGAAUUCUUGGUGUAGGGGUAAAAUGCGUAGAGAUCAAGAGGAAUACUCAUUGCGAAGGCGACCUGCUAGAACGUAACUGACGCUGAUGCGCGAAAGCGUGGGGAGCAAACAGGAUUAGAUACCCUUGUAGUC
rnacentral:rRNA from 1 species